AACGCACAUUGCGGCCAUAGGUAUUCCUUUGGCCAUGCCUGUUCGAGCGUCAUUUACACCCUCAAGCCUAGCUUGGUGUUGGGCGUCUGUCCCGCCGUUCUCGCGCGCGGACUCGCCUCAAAGUCAUUGGCGGCGGUCGUGCCGGCCCCCUCGCGCAGCACAUUUGCGCUUCUCGGAGGCCCGGCGGAUCCGCGCUCCAGCAAGACCUUUCACGACUUGACCUCGGAUCAGGUAGGGAUACCCGCUGAACUUAA
rnacentral:misc_RNA from 2 species